UACGGGGGGGCGAAGCGUUGUUCGGAAUUACUGGGCGUAAAGGGCUCGUAGGCGGCCAACUAAGUCGGAUGUGAAAUCCCCAGGCUUAACUUGGGAACUGCAUCCGAUACUGGAUGGCUUGAAUCCGGGAGAGGGAUGCGGAAUUCCAGGUGUAGCGGUGAAAUGCGUAGAUAUCUGGAGGAACACCGGUGGCGAAGGCGGCUCACUGGCCCGAUACUGACGCUGAGGCACGAAAGCGUGGGGAGCAAACAGG
rnacentral:rRNA from 1 species